AUGGCUCCUGUAUACAGGACACUGGUCUGGCACAAGAGGGUUCCAGAGGAAUGGGUGCUCUCUCUGCCCUUGCAGGGUUCUCUGAUGAGAUGGAUCUGUAGACGGACUGAUGAUGCCCCAUGCCAUGGCAGCAAUGGGCUCAACUGGACGUUUGGAGGCCAUAUGGAGUUUCUGUUGUCCACUGACUCUGCAGGACACAGCCAGUCUCCUGCACACACUAGAUGCCUCCUCACAGCCACAUGGCCAACCAUGCCAACCAAAGGUCACCCUCCAAGCCAAGUGGCUGGGUCAGAGCCAACUCCCUUUCUGACCAUCCAGGCAGGGAAGAGCCUCUUCUCUAGUCCAGACUUCCUUGGGGUGAGUCCUCUUGGGGUCCUCAGGUCCCUUCCAGCCAGGGCUUGUGGUCAGAACUCUGCUAAUUCACAAAGCCCUGUGCUUUAGUAAGCAAGGGGCAAGUGUCAAUUCUCCUCCCGUGAGGUUCCUGGGUUCCUGGGCAAAUGUGUCCAUGGCAUGGGAGGUGGGAGGUGAGGAUGAGAGCUGUGGAGAGGUAGACUUGAUCAGGUCCCCAGAAACGUGGCCACAUUCUCCUCCUUCACCAUAGGUGUCUACUUGCUGAUCAUUUGCCCACCCAAGGAAGCCUCUCAAAAGGCCCUUUUGUGAACAGAGAAGAUUUGCUUAAAGACGGUUAGUGGCUCCACCUUGGCAAAAAGCACUUCAGCGGCUCGCAAACAGCUCCUUAAAGUUCUGCCUAAGCAGGCCCCGGAACUACAGGCCGAGUCCCUGAGUGAGUAGGCCUCUUGAGGACUCAGCCGUUGGGCUGACUAGGCCUCCCUUGGACCUCCUCUUCUCCCAUUGGGUAGAGUAUGGCUUCUGCUCCAGAGGCCUGGAUGCCACCAUUUCUGCCUUGGGACCAGAGAACUUGCUGAGCUGCUGAGCCUGGGGUCAGGCAGGAGGAGGCACAAGCAUGGGGGUGGUGAAGGACACUGGGACCUUUGCAGGGGGCAAGGGAGCCUCUGGAUGGUGGAUGCCUCCCUCGAGGAGAGCUUGGGGCCGCCUGCCCUCCAUUUUGCCUGUCAUCAUCACUUAGCAAUGGCCGUUACAGGGCCCAGAGCUCUCCGGAAGGCCAUCCACCCUGAAAUGAAAGCUCAGCCUCCUCAGAGUGGGUCAGAGGAAGGGUGCUUAUGGCCCAUCUCUCUCUCAUUGAGGGUAGUUUACAUCUGUUAGUAAAUUUAAAUGAUGAGUUAAAUGUGGCUCAGAUGGCCCCUCUAGGUCUGUCCUCUGCCUAACGACUGUGCAGACCUAUUAGCAGUUCCUGGGCUGGUGCACAGGCUUGCUCCGGGGUGACUCCUGCCUCCUGGGUGGGGGCUGUUCCUCCUUCACACCCACCCGGGGCUGGGACACCGCCAAAGGCUCAACCUUCACAGUAGGAAGACAUGGGGAG
rnacentral:lncRNA from 12 species